CCAGUGAUCUUAAAGUUCGCUGGAAGUUUACUGGGUUUCUUGCGUAAUAUUUCGCGGUGAUGUAAAAAGCGUUGCUGUUACAACUUCUGCAAGCAGUUAAAACUUGGAAAAUUGAUAAUAUAGCUUCUUAAAAUAAUAUUUCAAAUUUUUGUAUAAAAGUAAUCCUUUUUAUUUUAUUUUUUGCAUCUAAUAGAUGAUCUAUAGUGUGAGUUUCAAUUAUUAUUAGUUCUACUCAAGUUACAAAACAAAAUCAUCUGGAUAAAAGUGAUAAAAUGCUAUUGGUUGGAAAUUGAUAAAUUAAUAAAAAAUGAUUGAUUCUAAUUGCGCGAAAAUAUGUUGCUCUAAAGACCCAAACCGAAAAGAAUGCCUAAAGUGGUUUUCAAAAGAUGAAUUGACGAAUUUCUUAAUUCUUUUUGUUUCGUUGCGAUAAUUUGUCGUAUGAGAACGCUAACGAGAAAAAACUUUUUAAAUAUAGAAACAUGCGUAAUAUAAAGUUUACUUAUGCCUAUAAAAAAAUAUGUUUUACAUUAAUUAAUAAAUUAACUUUUUAGUUUAUUGUUAAAAAUUGUAUUCUGUAUUGAAGUUUAUUUCUGAGAAUUUGUAAUUAUACCUAAGAUAAUCUAAUCCUACAUUGUAUUUUAAUUUAUAAAACUCGAUAUUUUAAAAUAAAUAUAUUACUUUUUUAUCGCG